rnacentral:tRNA from 1 species
GCCUGGUUGGCUCAGUUGGUGGAGCACGUGACUCUUGAUCUUGGGGUUGUGAGAUCGAGCCCCACACUGGCUG